rnacentral:rRNA from 1 species
AUUGACGCUGGCGGCAGGCCUAACACAUGCAAGUCGAGCGGUAGCACAGAGAGCUUGCUCUCGGGUGACGAGCGGCGGACGGGUGAGUAAUGUCUGGGAAACUGCCUGAUGGAGGGGGAUAACUACUGGAAACGGUAGCUAAUACCGCAUAACGUCGCAAGACCAAAGUGGGGGACCUUCGGGCCUCAUGCCAUCAGAUGUGCCCAGAUGGGAUUAGCUAGUAGGUGGGGUAACGGCUCACCUAGGCGACGAUCCCUAGCUGGUCUGAGAGGAUGACCAGCCACACUGGAACUGAGACACGGUCCAGACUCCUACGGGAGGCAGCAGUGGGGAAUAUUGCACAAUGGGCGCAAGCCUGAUGCAGCCAUGCCGCGUGUGUGAAGAAGGCCUUCGGGUUGUAAAGCACUUUCAGCGGGGAGGAAGGCGAUAAGGUUAAUAACCUUGUCGAUUGACGUUACCCGCAGAAGAAGCACCGGCUAACUCCGUGCCAGCAGCCGCGGUAAUACGGAGGGUGCAAGCGUUAAUCGGAAUUACUGGGCGUAAAGCGCACGCAGGCGGUCUGUCAAGUCGGAUGUGAAAUCCCCGGGCUCAACCUGGGAACUGCAUUCGAAACUGGCAGGCUAGAGUCUUGUAGAGGGGGGUAGAAUUCCAGGUGUAGCGGUGAAAUGCGUAGAGAUCUGGAGGAAUACCGGUGGCGAAGGCGGCCCCCUGGACAAAGACUGACGCUCAGGUGCGAAAGCGUGGGGAGCAAACAGGAUUAGAUACCCUGGUAGUCCACGCCGUAAACGAUGUCGAUUUGGAGGUUGUGCCCUUGAGGCGUGGCUUCCGGAGCUAACGCGUUAAAUCGACCGCCUGGGGAGUACGGCCGCAAGGUUAAAACUCAAAUGAAUUGACGGGGGCCCGCACAAGCGGUGGAGCAUGUGGUUUAAUUCGAUGCAACGCGAAGAACCUUACCUGGUCUUGACAUCCACAGAACUUUCCAGAGAUGGAUUGGUGCCUUCGGGAACUGUGAGACAGGUGCUGCAUGGCUGUCGUCAGCUCGUGUUGUGAAAUGUUGGGUUAAGUCCCGCAACGAGCGCAACCCUUAUCCUUUGUUGCCAGCGGUUAGGCCGGGAACUCAAAGGAGACUGCCAGUGAUAAACUGGAGGAAGGUGGGGAUGACGUCAAGUCAUCAUGGCCCUUACGACCAGGGCUACACACGUGCUACAAUGGCAUAUACAAAGAGAAGCGACCUCGCGAGAGCAAGCGGACCUCAUAAAGUAUGUCGUAGUCCGGAUUGGAGUCUGCAACUCGACUCCAUGAAGUCGGAAUCGCUAGUAAUCGUAGAUCAGAAUGCUACGGUGAAUACGUUCCCGGGCCUUGUACACACCGCCCGUCACACCAUGGGAGUGGGUUGCAAAAGAAGUAGGUAGCUUAACCUUCGGGAGGGCGCUUACCACUUUGUGAUUCAUGACUGGGG